ensembl:lncRNA
CACACACACAAUGUAUUCUUAAGCAUUAUCUGCCUCCUUAGCUUUUGUGGAGCAUACCAAUGUGGGUGCUUUUCGAAAAUGGGAGGCUGUAUUUGCUGACUUUUUAGGCAACCAUUUGUUCCAGAGGAACUCACUUUAUUACUUUAUUUCCCUUUGGCAAGAUAAUAAUUAUCUGAAAUGGAAAUAACUGAAUUCCUUUGGUGAAGUGCCAAUGAAAACUAUACCCAGACUUCCAGAAGAACUGAAUACGAUGAAACCCAUUGACUUAUAGUGGACUCGUGGUAUUUGUAAGCACGCUGUGGCAAAGCACCACAAUGUUUCAGGAGGCUUGAGAGGUGCACUUCUAACAUCUCCUUGAUCAGGCAGAGGUAUAAACGCUCCCCCCCCCCCCCCUUCCUCUUUUACUUUAUAAUCAUAUUCCAUCAAGUGUUCUGACAGCCCUCAAUACAAGAAACAGUUCAACUC